rnacentral:tRNA from 1 species
CGGGGUGUAGCGCAGUGGUAGCGCGCACGGUUCGGGACCGUGAGGCCGUGGGUUCAAAUCCCACCACCCCGACCA